AUGGCCGCUGCUGGUGCUGAGAAGCUGCACGUUCUGGUGGCGUGUGCCUUGCUGCUGCUCCUUGCUGUGGGGUGCCAGGCCAGCCCUCUGCAGAUCGGGUUCUACCGCGACAGGUGCCCCCAGGCGGAGGCCGUCGUCAAGGGCGUGAUGAUGGACGCCAUCUCCCAGAACCCCGGCAAUGGCGCCGCCAUGAUCCGCAUGCUCUUCCACGACUGCUUCGUUGAGGCUGUGACGCUUCGGUCCUCCUGGACCCGACCCCGUUCAGCCCGACGCCGGAGAAGCUCAGCGCGCCCAACAAUCCCUCCCUGCGUGGCUUCGAGCUGA
rnacentral:rRNA from 1 species